AACGAACGCUGGCGGCAUGCCUAACACAUGCAAGUCGAACGAGACCUUCGGGUCUAGUGGCGCACGGGUGCGUAACGCGUGGGAACCUGCCCUUAGGUUCGGAAUAACUCCCCGAAAGGGGUGCUAAUACCGGAUAAUGUCUUCGGACCAAAGAUUUAUCGCCUGUGGAUGGGCCCGCGUUGGAUUAGUUAGUUGGGAGGGUAAAAGCAUACCAAGGCGACGAUCCAUAGCUGGUCUGAGAGGAUGAUCAGCCACACUGGGACUGAGACACGGCCCAGACUCCUACGAGAGGCAGCAGUGGGGAAUCUUGGACAGUGGGCGAAAGGCUGAUCCAGCAAUGCCGCGUGAGUGAUGAAGGCCUUAGGGUUGUAAAGCUCUUUUACCCGGGAUGAUAAUGACAGUACCGGGAGAAUAAGCUCCGGCUAACUCCGUG
rnacentral:rRNA from 1 species